CCUACGGGAGGCAGCAGUGAGGAAUAUUGGUCAAUGGUCGGGAGACUGAACCAGCCAAGCCGCGUGAGGGAUGAAGGUACAGAGUAUCGUAAACCUCUUUUGUCAGGGAACAAAGGCGGGGACGCGUCCCCGGAUGAGUGUACCUGAAGAAAAAGCAUCGGCUAACCCCGUGCCAGCAGCCGCGGUAAUACGGAGGAUGCGAGCGUUAUCCGGAUUUAUUGGGUUUAAAGGGUGCGCAGGCGGUCUGUUAAGUCAGCGGUAAAAGCCCGGGGCUCAACCCCGGCCCGCCGUUGAAACUGGCAGUCUCGAGUUGGAGAGAAGUAUGCGGAAUGCGCGGUGUAGCGGUGAAAUGCAUAGAUAUCGCGAAGAACUCCGAUUGCGAAGGCAGCAUGCCGGCUCCACACUGACGCUGAGGCACGAAAGCGUGGGUAUCGAACAGGAUUAGAUACCCCAGUAGUC
rnacentral:rRNA from 1 species